rnacentral:rRNA from 1 species
UGGCGAACGGGAGAGUAAUGUAUCGGAACAUGCCAUGUAGUGGGGGAUAACGCUUCGAAAGGAGUGCUAAUACCGCAUAAUGCCUGAGGGCUAAAGGAGGGGAUCGUAAGACCUUUCGCUAUAUGAGUGGCCGAUAUCUGAUUAGCUAGUUGGUGAGGUAAAGGCUCACCAAGGCGACGAUCAGUAGCGGGUCUGAGAGGACGACCCGCCUCACUGGAACUGAGACACGGUCCAGACUCCUACGGGAGGCAGCAGUGGGGAAUUUUGGACAAUGGGCGCAAGCCUGAUCCAGCCAUGCCGCGUGUCUGAAGAAGGCCUUCGGGUUGUAAGGGACUUUUGUUGGGGAGCAAAUGCUGAUCGCUAAUACCGAUUGGAGCUGAGAGUACCCAAAGAAUAAGCACCGGCUAACUACGUGCCAGCAGCCGCGGUAAUACGUAGGGUGCAAGCGUUAAUCGGAAUUACUGGGCGUAAAGGGUAUGCAGGCGGUUUUGUAAGCUUGAUGUGAAAUCCCCGGGCUUAACCUGGGAACUGCAUUGAGAACUACAAGACUAGAGUGUGUCAGAGGGGGGUGGAAUUCCGCGUGUAGCAGUGAAAUGCGUAGAUAUGCGGAGGAACACCGAUGGCGAAGGCAGCCCCCUGGGAUAACACUGACGCUCAGAUACGAAAGCGUGGGUAGCAAACAGGAUUAGAUACCCUGGUAGUCCACGCCCUAAACGAUGUCAACUAGCUGUUGGGGUUUGAAAUCCUUGGUAGCGUAGCUAACGCGAGAAGUUGACCGCCUGGGG